ACGGAACAAAAAUGACUGGACUAAAACAGGGAAUUCUGCCUGGAGACACCUUCAGACUGUAACUGCAACAUUGGCUCGUCCACAGGUCUUUCACGUGUUCUGCAAAAUUUGGAGUUGCCAGCCUCCGCAUAUUCGUGUUGUGACGGCUGGACCACCACAAGUGGCGCCCGAACGUGGGGCCUGAGUAUCGAGGGAUUCAGUGAAGGACACCGCAGAGAGAACGAGGCCUCAACGAAAAGAUGGCAUCUCUUCCAUAACUGCUCUUGCUGUUGGGAGAAGAUCACCCACAAACCCGCAAGGUUGAGAUUGUGUGAAAUCUGGAGUCACACACGCCUCAAAAUGCCAGACAUCACUUGUUUAUCAAGAUUGCAAAAUUGUUCUUUUCCAUGAGGCUUCAAUGAUAAAAGCAGGCUUCAAGCCACGAAAAUGGCUGAUCUCUAACUCCUGGCUCAAGCGAUCCUCCCGGUGCAGUAACCUCCUCUACAGGCACGUGCCACCAUGUAAACAUUGUUGAAGGCUGUUGCAAGAACCCGAACACCGUGCUUUUAGGAAGUGACACUGACAAUAAACGACUGAGUGGGGCUGUGUGACAGACAUUUUAAUAACAACCAAGAAUUGACGGCAGACUGGAUAAGGAGAGAAAGUAUUUUUCCAGUGAAAAUUUGAUACCAAUGAAAAAAUGAAGAAAGAGAGCAACUGUUUAGAUUUCCUGUUCAAGAAAGUUGGCUGAAGAGAGAGAAGUGGUCGGGGAGCAGGAAUGCAGACAUGGUGUGUGCGUGUGUGUGUCUGUUUGGAGGAGUUUGAUUCUUUACCAACCAAAGUCUCAGUGAGGGCGAGUUCCAAACUACCAGGGAGAAUGGCGUGGAGGAAAAGAAACUCCAGGGUCUUGAACCAAGAUUCCAAAGCAAAAGGGCGGGAAAGGAGAAGGGGCUUUGCAGAUUAGGCCUUUGUAGAGAUGAUGUCCCGUACGGGAGGUGAGAAAGUGGACUAUUGUAGCCUCUGGUCAGACUGAGGAGGCUGCUCACAGGUGGCCAUUCAUUUCGGAGAAAAUGGAACCACUAAGAGCCUGGAUGAUUCUGAAAAAUGUCAAAGCUUAAGCAUAAUCAUUUGAAACUUAAGUUUUGUUAAUAUUUCCUGCUCAUCAUCAGCUUUUCUUCAGGCACUGUGUAAAAUUACUGACAUAAAAUGAUUAAAUUAUAAACUUGUGUUAAAAUGAAAGAAAUCCUUCCUCUUCUGCUAUAAGAAACCACUUUCAAACUCUUUUUACAUAGCCAAUUACUCUUUGAGAGUCUGGUAUUAUGACACGUUCCGUAAAACUGGUAUUUUGAGAGUGCUCCACAGUGAGCACUAGACAUUGGUUUUGAUAGACAUGAAAGUCCAGCUCAAGAUCUAAACGUUCAGUGCCAAUGCAACCCGGCGUCUACUGUCACACACGUAUAUACCAUAAACUGGUUUCUGUGCAUCUACAUUACAGAGCUUGUAGACAAGCUUUUCCAAAUCAGAUGUUAACCAAAAUAAAAAUGCAAAUUCCUAACAUUCCAUUGCUUCUAGCUGGUUUUGUUAACGAAUGAGUAAAGAAAAUGAUUUGUAUUCCUUUGUUAUACAUCAGUUAGUUAAAAUAUACAUUUAAAAUUCUAUAGCCAACAAAAUUUUAUAUCUUGGCUGAGAACUGGAUCUGUGUUCAGACACAAAUGAAUAAAUCCCUAUUUGCUCGAAUGUCUGGUAGCCAUUCUUUACCCUUCUCUCCUUAUCCAAUCUGCCAUCAAUUGUUAUUGUUACUAUUAAAAUAUUUAUCACACUG